CUUUGUGUGAACCUAAUAUUGUGAUAAGCGAAGAAAAUCGUCAAUUAUUUAUCGAUUUUUUUAAUUGUUAAGACUUGACGUAACUUUCCUUUGAUAAAUAUUACUUAUUCUAAUUCGAGCAAAAUAUGUUGCGAAGAUCAAUAACUUCGUUGUUCGAUAGGACAGUUGGCCUUCUCAAUAGAAAACAACUAUGUGAAAUACAUACAACAAUAGCUUUGCUAAAAGUAGAAGACCGGAAGGGUAUGAUGGCUUCAUUACCGGAUAAGGAUGAAGGCACAGCUGGUGAAAAAUCAAUAGAUAUAGAUACCCUCAUUCACAAAAAAGAAAAAUUCUUCCCAGAUGAUCAAACCUCGCAACAAUUAUUUAAUGGAAUUCCGUUUGCUGAGUUGCCUGUUUGCAACAUUCGUGUAUCUCCUAACAACACUAUAAUAAGUGUUACGGAUAGCAAGGGUGUUCCUAGACUUAUACGGUCCUGUGGCAUUGAGGGCUUUAAAAAUACUCGAAAAGGCACAAAUAUUGCUGCCCAAGCUACUGCAAUAACUAUAAGCGAAAAAGCCGUAGAACUCGGUUGGAAGACCGUUCGAGUAAAAGUGCGGGGAUUGGGGCCUGGUCGAAUGUCAGCCAUUAAAGGGCUUCAAAUGGGUGGACUUAACAUUGUUUCAAUUACUGAUGCAACACCUGUAUCUUGGAACCCUCCGCGUGCAAGAAAGCAGAGAAGCUUAUAAAAAGGACAGUUUUAAAAUAUUCCAUCUUCAGCACAAAAAAUAUGAUACUUGAUUUUUGAUGGUGCUGAUUUUCAACAAAGUGCCAAUGUUUCAAAAUGCUUUAAAAGGAGAAAUGUUACAAAAAGGAUCAAAAAAAAAUUAAUACUUAACGCUUUAUACAUUUUUUAAACGCAUUUUUUUAAUUCCUAAAAUCUAUUAUGCAUAUUGU